UAGUCGCCACGGUAAUACGAAGGGGGCUAGCGUUGCUCGGAAUGACAGGGCGUAAAGGGCGCGUAGGCGGAUCACGCAGUCAGAUGUGAAAUUCCUGGGCUUAACCUGGGGGCUGCAUUUGAGACGCGUGGUCUAGAGUGUGAAAGAGGGUCGUGGAAUUCCCAGUGUAGAGGUGAAAUUCGUAGAUAUUGGGAAGAACACCGGUGGCGAAGGCGGCGACCUGGUUCAUGACUGACGCUGAGGCGCGAAAGCGUGGGGAGCAAACAGGAUUAGAUACCCCAGUAGUCCCUGUCUCUUAUAC
rnacentral:rRNA from 1 species